rnacentral:lncRNA from 1 species
AUACUUAAGCCUCAUCCACUGAACGAAACCCUAAAGGUCUCACAUACUUCACUCCUGUGCUCCUCGUGGCUCCUUUAGGGAAUAGCCGCCGCCGCAUCCACCGUCGCCGCUCCUUCAUUGCCACAGCCGCUGCAGCCCACCGUACCUUACUACCUCUACAGAUCGCCGGUCGAGGCAAAGGGCACACGAGGUCGUCGGUCUCCCUCCCUCCCAGGAAGAUCCCCUCCCUCCCAGGACGCGUCUCCCAUGCACAAGUCACGGAUGAGUGUCGGCGGCUCUCACAGGUCGCCUGAGAGGAGACGAUGGGUCUCAAAGACAUGCUGGGUCGAAACCCUAGCGAGAUAAGCAAUCACGCCCCCCCUUUUGGUCCUCUCCUCUCUGUCUGUAGAUUGAGGUUGUGUUGUCUAGUUAAUUGUUGUUCUAGAUCUGGCAUCAUUGGUAUACUCGUGCAUACUUAUAAGUGGUCUACUGGUUAUGCCUCAUAGGCUUGUUAAUUUGCCAUUUACCCUACUAGAUUUGCAUGAUAAUUAGGAGGAAUUUUGGAUGGUAGGCAGCAUGUUCAGUUCAGGCUACAUCUCGUGUGCAGCAAAAUUUUAGAUGUAGAGGCUUAGGAGGAAAUGUGUUAUUAAAAUAUGCCUUAGCAGUCUACUGUGUGAUUGGUUGAACUUGAAACCUCAAAAAAAAUAAGUUGUAGAUAAGCAUCAGGUUCUAUAUUACAAAUUUAUGUGCAAUGUUUUUCUGCUGCAAGAAUCUAAGUCUAAGUUCUGAAAACAACCCAUUAUUCUGUCAAAAUGGUGCUGAUUGUGGACUAUUCUGUUGUCUUAAUAGGUUUCAUACAAGUGAAAAUGUCAAAACUUUCGGACUCCUAACUCAGAGAAUAUGGCUGGUGGCUCUCUAGAGGAUGUGCGCUACUGCUGAUUUAGUUUAAUUUGUGCUCUAUGUGACACCGUGCUUAAAUUACAAGGUGCGUGUUCACUUUAUCUGCUGUCUGUUCUGCAUUUCUAGCAAGGAGAAGUAAAACAUUCAGAAUGCUACUUUUGAUGGUGCUCCUCUGUGGACAUGGAUCCAAUCCCAUAGGCUAAUGAUAUAUAUAUAUCGGGUGUCCGAUCCGUGACUUCAUCUUCAGACGUGGCUCGCGCUCCUCCAUUGGUUUGCGUCAUUUCCCAUCCAGAGUUCAGACGUCGUGCCUUAUCCUCACCCACUUGCCACCAUCGCACGGCCAACUCUAUGCGGUGCGCCCCCUGCUCGAAUAGCAAUGAGACGCUCAUUGCCACUCCCUCUCGAGCCGCUCGCCGGCGCCGGCGCCGCCCCCGCCCGAGCCAUGCGCCCCCACUCACGGUAGCAACGAGUCAUUCAUUGGCGCACCCCUCUUGAGCUGCUCACGUGGCGUCGCCCUCGCUAAAGCUGCUUCUUCCCUGACCCUCGCGUCCUCCUCUAUGGUGGCUCUUUCCUGCACCCCAGCGUGCUCCUUCCCUACCUCAGCGGCGCCCCUCCCUCUCCCCUCACCGGCGUCCUCCCCACAAGGAGCUCUCGACGCCUGCAGAUCUGGCAGCCAUGGCGCUCCCCACACCACGCUCUCUUCUCUCGUCCAAUGUUGCAAUUGUAUCUUUCAAUUGUUUUAGAACUUCAAAGGUAUGUUGUAGUAGAAUCAAUGGAUAUUACAAAAGUAGAUCAGGAUAUUCGCACUUUUUGUUGAUAUGUUGCAAGUGUUUCAAAGGAUUGUUGCAACAACACUUUUGUUCAAACUGUUUCACCUGUUUCUACACAAUGUUGCAAUCGUUUCUGAUCUGGAUGUUUUUAUAUGCCUAAAUUGCUCCAAUCCUAUGUUGUAGCAGUUAUUCUAUGUUAUUUGCAAGUGUUUUUAAUCGAUUAUUGUUUCAUACACUUCAUAGUAAUGUUGCAAUAAUAUGUUCCAAAUAUUUCAGUCCCUUCAACCUAAUGUUGCAGCGGUUGUUCUGUGUUGUUGCAAGUGUUAUAUUUAAGUUUUUUAUGUUGUUAGGUCAAAGAGGGGCAAGUCGGGCGGACGAGAGCGCAUGGCUCGCUAGGGGCCUAGUGGACGGAGGUGCUAGGGGGCAACAGAUGCAAUUGCUGUGGCCAAGGGUGCUAGGACGUGCUCAUCGCGCAGGUGUUGUGGCUAGGGGACAUUUGGGGCGUGCUGGUCACGCGUGGGGCGAACGUGGCAGGUUGUGGGGCGCACCUCGGACUAGGCUAGGAACAUGCGCGCGUGUCAGGUUCGGGAAGUGCACGCGAGGGCUAAGCGGUUUGAGGGGCGUCCGGAUGCGAGGCGUGCUCCGGACGUUCGGGUUCUAGAUAUUUCGAAUCCCAUGCCGCAGGCUUGGAGCACCUAUGUGUUUUUCGGAUUUUGUGAAGAUGGAGAAUGGGGAAGGAAUAGAAACAAGAAUUGGGUCCAUGGUGUACAAGUGCAGGAGAAAAAGAAAAGGUCAAAAUGGAUUUUGGCAAAACCUAGGGCUCCUGUUGCAAAACUUCCUUUUUUUUUCCUUUUUUUGCAUGGGCCUCUUCCUGAUGGGCCUCAGAUCCAGCCUGGACCGAGUGGGCCGAAUCUGGUCCAUGGCGGACCUUUUAUCCUUUUUCAUUUCGAUUUUCCUUUUCUUUUUGCAAAAAUCUAAAAUUCAUAGAAAAACACAGAAAAAUCAUAAAAAUGCCAUGAGAGAAGAUAGAGUUAGGGUUUUAUUUAGAUAAAAUAUAAAAUGAGUGGAAUAAUCUUGUGUUGAAUUCGAUUAGGACUUAAAUUCAACUCAUCUUUUAAUCUAUUCAAAAAAAUAUUUAUCUAAGAAAAUUCCCUUUACCAUGGCUGGGAGACGUGGCUGCCCAGGCAUUGUCGUCGUUGUCGGUGCAAGAGCGGGUGCGGUCACCUAGGCACAGUUGUGCGGCCGCUUGGCUCAGCUGUGCGGGAGAGAGGAGUGGGCGCGAGCAGGAGGCUGAUGGCCAUGGGGCUGCGAGCCUGCGACCCCCACUUCUCUAACCAAACACCAAAAUGAAAUGGGAUAUUGUGUCUCACUUGGCCAUUGCCAUGUCCCCAACCAAACACAUUAGGCUUUGUUUGGAUGUUGUCGGAUUCACCUCAAUCCACAUGUGUUGGAGUGGAUUGGGGUGGAAUUUAGGUUCCACUCCAACCCACCCCAAUACAUGUGGAUUGAUGUGAAUCCGACUACAUCCAAACAAAGCCUUACUGUUUUUCGCGAACGGGGUUUAGGGCCCGUGUUUCAUUAAGACGAAAACCAAACACAUUACUCAAAGGUAAUAUAUCAACUUCUUGACGUUUUUCUAACAGAGGAGUGGCCAACCAUGUAGGACGCGAACCCCCACACAGUGAUGACCAGAGCCAAGAUCUUGAACCCGCUCAUGGGGUCAUGGAACCAGAUCACCGCGGCGAUGCUCGUGAGGGGCACCCUGACAGCGUUCAGCACUCCGGCGAGUACGGUGGACGCCAGGAACAGCAC